rfam:Rattus norvegicus chromosome 2, whole genome shotgun sequence.
GGGGAUUUAGCUCAGUGGUAGAGCACUUGCCUAGCAAGCACAAGACCCUGGGUUCGGUCCUCAGCUCCG